GCUUUAUUAGUUUAAAAAAAAUAUUACAUUGAAGCUGUAAAGAUUUAUUUAAGCA
rnacentral:tRNA from 1 species